CUUGUACUCCCUCCGUCCGAAAAUACUUGUCAUUGAAAUGGAUGUAUCUAGAUGCAUUUUAGUUCUAGACACAUCCAUUUUGAUGACAAGUAAUUCUGGACGGAGGGAGUACUUG
rnacentral:pre_miRNA from 1 species